rnacentral:rRNA from 1 species
AUUGAACGCUGGCGGAAUGCUUUACACAUGCAAGUCGAACGGCAGCACGGACUUCGGUCUGGUGGCGAGUGGCGAACGGGUGAGUAAUAUAUCGGAACGUGCCCAGUCGUGGGGGAUAACGUAGUGAAAAUUACGCUAAUACCGCAUACGAUCUAUGGAUGAAAGCGGGGGAUCGCAAGACCUCGCGCGAUUGGAGCGGCCGAUAUCAGAUUAGGUAGUUGGUGAGGUAAAGGCUCACCAAGCCGACGAUCUGUAGCUGGUCUGAGAGGACGACCAGCCACACUGGAACUGAGACACGGUCCAGACUCCUACGGGAGGCAGCAGUGGGGAAUUUUGGACAAUGGACGCAAGUCUGAUCCAGCCAUUCCGCGUGCAGGACGAAGGCCUUCGGGUUGUAAACUGCUUUUGUACAGAACGAAAAGGUCUCUAUUAAUACUAGGGGCUCAUGACGGUACUGUAAGAAUAAGCACCGGCUAACUACGUGCCAGCCGCCGCAGUAA